UCUGUGAGGGGCCAUCGGUGUGAGAGCUCACUCAAUAGUUAUUGGCAGCCCCUAACAUGGAAAACAUAAAGUGCUGGCGCGCCAUUUUAGCUGGCAACGAUGUGAGAGGGAAGUCCCAUUCUCCGCCAAAGAAGAGGAAAUCACUGGCCGUCACUAACCAGUUCCAGGACCAUGGAGAGUUCUUCUAAUGGCGUGCCAUCAACGGAAAUUUCACUAUUAACGGAAACUUCACUAUUCUCCCAGAAAUCGCCAGCAAGAUGUCCAUACACUUCAGGCCAUUGGACGAUUGUAGUCUUGUAGUCCAAUCUGAUGUCUUCUGACAGCAAGAUCCCCUGGGGAUCCAUCUAAAAUCCAUGAACGGCUGAGAUGGAUUGCUUGGGUAAAGCAACCCUCAUGGACUUCAAACCACCCACCAUUACUCAUGCAUGAAAAUAUUAUUGCCUUUUACUCCAUCAAUACUUUAAGACUACUUACUCAGUCAAUGGUUUAGUAAUUAGAUAGUCAGAGCAUUUGGCUUGGUGGUGUUGUACAGAUGUGUUGAUGCUAUAGGGUUUUAAAUAAAUGAUCUGUUACACUUGCUAACUAUCUCUGCUCACC